GAUUUUUUAUCUCUCUCAUGAUUCGACCUUAUGAUUCUUCUAGUUUCUCUCAUCUUGCAAUCAGUGGAGAUUCUAGCCACGAUUUUGUUCUCGGACGAUCAACGAGAGGCUUCUCGGCAAAUUUGUUUUCCGACGAAGCUUAUAGAGAAUUUAUUCUCAAACGAUCAACGAGGCUUCUUCUAGUUUCUCUCAUCUUGCAAUCAAUGGCAAUUCUAGCCACAAUUUUGUUCUCAGACGAUCGACGAGACUUCUCAGCGAAUUUGAUUUCUGAUGUAUAGAUGGGACUUCUCAAUGAAUCUGGUUUGUUUUAGUUUAGUGCUGUUGGGAGCAAUUUUGAGGUCAGGCCAGAGCAGAUUUUCUGGAAAAGUCAAUGAGUUUCAAGUUCCAAUAACCAGAAUCCCAUCAAAAGAGAAAGGGCAUCCUCAUGUUCUUGCUUAUUGGAUUUAUGGAACUAAUGGAGACAGUUUUAAAGGCAAUAUAUCAUCCAAGAAAUCGGUACCUGCUGGAGCUUGAUUCUGGUUCUUCAGACAAUGAAAGAGAGAGUUUAGCACUUUCU